rnacentral:rRNA from 1 species
UUAAGCGACUAAGCGUACACGGUGGAUGCCCUGGCAGUCAGAGGCGAUGAAGGACGUGCUAAUCUGCGAUAAGCGUCGGUAAGGUGAUAUGAACCGUUAUAACCGGCGAUUUCCGAAUGGGGAAACCCAGUGUGAUUCGUCACACUAUCAUUAACUGAAUCCAUAGGUUAAUGAGGCGAACCGGGGGAACUGAAACAUCUAAGUACCCCGAGGAAAAGAAAUCAACCGAGAUUCCCCCAGUAGCGGCGAGCGAACGGGGAGCAGCCCAGAGCCUGAAUCAGUGUGUGUGUUAGUGGAAGCGUCUGGAAAGGCGCGCGAUACAGGGUGACAGCCCCGUACACAAAAAUGCACAUAUUGUGAGCUCGAUGAGUAGGGCGGGACACGUGGUAUCCUGUCUGAAUAUGGGGGGCCCAUCCUCCAAGGCUAAAUACUCCUGACUGACCGAUAGUGAACCAGUACCGUGAGGGAAAGGCGAAAAGAACCCCGGCGAGGGGAGUGAAAAAGAACCUGAAACCGUGUACGUACAAGCAGUGGGAGCACGCUUAGGCGUGUGACUGCGUACCUUUUGUAUAAUGGGUCAGCGACUUAUAUUCUGUAGCAAGGUUAACCGAAUAGGGGAGCCGAAGGGAAACCGAGUCUUAACUGGGCGUUAAGUUGCAGGGUAUAGACCCGAAACCCGGUGAUCUAGCCAUGGGCAGGUUGAAGGUUGGGUAACACUAACUGGAGGACCGAACCGACUAAUGUUGAAAAAUUAGCGGAUGACUUGUGGCUGGGGGUGAAAGGCCAAUCAAACCGGGAGAUAGCUGGUUCUCCCCGAAAGCUAUUUAGGUAGCGCCUCGUGAAUUCAUCUCCGGGGGUAGAGCACUGUUUCGGCAAGGGGGUCAUCCCGACUUACCAACCCGAUGCAAACUGCGAAUACCGGAGAAUGUUAUCACGGGAGACACACGGCGGGUGCUAACGUCCGUCGUGAAGAGGGAAACAACCCAGACCGCCAGCUAAGGUCCCAAAGUCAUGGUUAAGUGGGAAACGAUGUGGGAAGGCCCAGACAGCCAGGAUGUUGGCUUAGAAGCAGCCAUCAUUUAAAGAAAGCGUAAUAGCUCACUGGUCGAGUCGGCCUGCGCGGAAGAUGUAACGGGGCUAAACCAUGCACCGAAGCUGCGGCAGCGACGCUUAUGCGUUGUUGGGUAGGGGAGCGUUCUGUAAGCCUGCGAAGGUGUGCUGUGAGGCAUGCUGGAGGUAUCAGAAGUGCGAAUGCUGACAUAAGUAACGAUAAAGCGGGUGAAAAGCCCGCUCGCCGGAAGACCAAGGGUUCCUGUCCAACGUUAAUCGGGGCAGGGUGAGUCGACCCCUAAGACGAGGCCGAAAGGCGUAGUCGAUGGGAAACAGGUUAAUAUUCCUGUACUUGGUGUUACUGCGAAGGGGGGACGGAGAAGGCUAUGUUGGCCGGGCGACGGUUGUCCCGGUUUAAGCGUGUAGGCUGGUUUUCCAGGCAAAUCCGGAAAAUCAAGGCUGAGGCGUGAUGACGAGGCACUACGGUGCUGAAGCAACAAAUGCCCUGCUUCCAGGAAAAGCCUCUAAGCAUCAGGUAACAUCAAAUCGUACCCCAAACCGACACAGGUGGUCAGGUAGAGAAUACCAAGGCGCUUGAGAGAACUCGGGUGAAGGAACUAGGCAAAAUGGUGCCGUAACUUCGGGAGAAGGCACGCUGAUAUGUAGGUGAAGUCCCUUGCGGAUGGAGCUGAAAUCAGUCGAAGAUACCAGCUGGCUGCAACUGUUUAUUAAAAACACAGCACUGUGCAAACACGAAAGUGGACGUAUACGGUGUGACGCCUGCCCGGUGCCGGAAGGUUAAUUGAUGGGGUCAGCGCAAGCGAAGCUCUUGAUCGAAGCCCCGGUAAACGGCGGCCGUAACUAUAACGGUCCUAAGGUAGCGAAAUUCCUUGUCGGGUAAGUUCCGACCUGCACGAAUGGCGUAAUGAUGGCCAGGCUGUCUCCACCCGAGACUCAGUGAAAUUGAACUCGCUGUGAAGAUGCAGUGUACCCGCGGCAAGACGGAAAGACCCCGUGAACCUUUACUAUAGCUUGACACUGAACAUUGAGCCUUGAUGUGUAGGAUAGGUGGGAGGCUUUGAAGUGUGGACGCCAGUCUGCAUGGAGCCGGCCUUGAAAUACCACCCUUUAAUGUUUGAUGUUCUAACGUGGACCCGUGAUCCGGGUUGCGGACAGUGUCUGGUGGGUAGUUUGACUGGGGCGGUCUCCUCCUAAAGAGUAACGGAGGAGCACGAAGGUUGGCUAAUCCUGGUCGGACAUCAGGAGGUUAGUGCAAUGGCAUAAGCCAGCUUGACUGCGAGCGUGACGGCGCGAGCAGGUGCGAAAGCAGGUCAUAGUGAUCCGGUGGUUCUGAAUGGAAGGGCCAUCGCUCAACGGAUAAAAGGUACUCCGGGGAUAACAGGCUGAUACCGCCCAAGAGUUCAUAUCGACGGCGGUGUUUGGCACCUCGAUGUCGGCUCAUCACAUCCUGGGGCUGAAGUAGGUCCCAAGGGUAUGGCUGUUCGCCAUUUAAAGUGGUACGCGAGCUGGGUUUAGAACGUCGUGAGACAGUUCGGUCCCUAUCUGCCGUGGGCGCUGGAGAACUGAGGGGGGCUGCUCCUAGUACGAGAGGACCGGAGUGGACGCAUCACUGGUGUUCGGGUUGUCAUGCCAAUGGCACUGCCCGGUAGCUAAAUGCGGAAGAGAUAAGUGCUGAAAGCAUCUAAGCACGAAACUUGCCCCGAGAUGAGUUCUCCCUGACCCUUUAAGGGUCCUGAAGGAACGUUGAAGACGACGACGUUGAUAGGCCGGGUGUGUAAGCGCAGCGAUGCGUUGAGCUAACCGGUACUAAUGAACCGUGAGGCUUAACCUU